rfam:Eucalyptus grandis cultivar BRASTZ1 unplaced genomic scaffold scaffold_9, whole genome shotgun sequence.
GAUCAAGUGAUGAGAGAGAACUGCAACAAUAUGAAGGUCUCAGUCUCGAGAUUUCCAGUAAUUUAGGUCUCUGAUGAUU